AGAGUUUGAUCCUGGCUCAGGAUGAACGCUGGCGGCGUGCUUAACACAUGCAAGUCGAACGAUGAUCCCAGCUUGCUGGGGGAUUAGUGGCGAACGGGUGAGUAACACGUGAGUAACCUGCCCUUAACUCUGGGAUAAGCCUGGGAAACUGGGUCUAAUACCGGAUAUGACUCCUCAUCGCAUGGUGGGGGGUGGAAAGCUUUAUUGUGGUUUUGGAUGGACUCGCGGCCUAUCAGCUUGUUGGUGAGGUAAUGGCUCACCAAGGCGACGACGGGUAGCCGGCCUGAGAGGGUGACCGGCCACACUGGGACUGAGACACGGCCCAGACUCCUACGGGAGGCAGCAGUGGGGAAUAUUGCACAAUGGGCGAAAGCCUGAUGCAGCGACGCCGCGUGAGGGAUGACGGCCUUCGGGUUGUAAACCUCUUUCAGUAGGGAAGAAGCGAAAGUGACGGUACCUGCAGAAGAAGCGCCGGCUAACUACGUGCCAGCAGCCGCGGUAAUACGUAGGGGGCGAGCGUUGUCCGGAAUUAUUGGGCGUAAAGAGCUCGUAGGCGGUUUGUCGCGUCUGCUGUGAAAACCUAAGGCUCAACCUUGGGCUUGCAGUGGGUACGGGCAGACUAGAGUGCGGUAGGGGUGACUGGAAUUCCUGGUGUAGCGGUGGAAUGCGCAGAUAUCAGGAGGAACACCGAUGGCGAAGGCAGGUCUCUGGGCAUUAACUGACGCUGAGGAGCGAAAGCAUGGGGAGCGAACAGGAUUAGAUACCCCGGUAGUCC
rnacentral:rRNA from 1 species